GUUUAAGGCUACCCAUGGGGACCUCAACAGCUUUGCCAUUGCACACUAUCUUUGCAGACAAGAUCUUAAUCACAUCCAACUUUCUGCAGUUGCACAGGGUACCUCAGACCCACAUCCCAGAUGACAUUCCUCAGAAGCUCGCAGCUGGAGAUGACAUCACCUUAGACAACAUCACCCUAGCCCAAGACAUCGCUAUUAGAGAUACAUCACCUGGACACUAAAGCCUCCAACCCAGUGACACUCUCAAGGUGCUGACAAAAUGGACAUGGACAUUUGUUGCUUUUCUUCUUUUGAAUUAGGAACUCUAUUGUGUUUCCUGAAUUUACUGUCUGCUUGGCCCAUGAUCCUGGUAUGUUCCUUGCUCUCUGCCAAAACAUGCACCGUCCCCUCCACACCUAAAGGAAAACCUGGUAGAAGCUACUACUCUCAAUGCCAUUCUAAAAUUGACGAAGAGUAUUAUUUUCCCCAAGAGGCAGCUGCUGCAGGCCAGUGAAUCCUCUGGACCCUGGGGAGAGGGUCAUACACUCCCUAGUGACUUCUACUGUAUGCUCCAGCUUUCCACCAGGACCUCCUGCCCUGUCCCCAACUGUAACGACCACAACCACCCCAUCCCCUUGGUUACACACAAAUAUCACCAGUCUUUACAUGUACUUUACUGACUUCUCAGAUAAUACCCUCCAACAAGAUAACUGCAGGACUUGCCACCAUGACCUGAG
rnacentral:lncRNA from 1 species